rnacentral:lncRNA from 1 species
GCCGGACCCUUGGUUGGAUUUCGGGGAGGGAAAGGGCUUGAGAGAGUUUGAAGUUUUUUUUUAUUUUUUUAUUUUGAAAAGAAGAAGGAAAUGAAUUUUUUGUAAAAUUUUUGGAAUUUAUAGGGGUGUGAAACGGCGCCGUUUUGGCUUGGCACCAAAACACCCAAAACGACGUCGUUUUUCCUUGGAUCGGAUCGACCCGACCCGAACCACCAGAGGAUCCACUUGUUUUUGGGAGUUGGGUUAUUUCUCCUUUUGGUCCUUCCUCUUUUAAAUAAUUUCGCAAUCAAGUUCUUUUGUUUUUAAAUUCGUUCUGUAAUUUAUUUUCAUUUACAAUCUGGUCCAUUUUGAAACGCAGCGUUUUGGAGGGUGGGGAUUAUUUCCCAUUUAGUCCCUUCAGUUUUACGCGCGUCACAUUUGGGCCCCGAUUCGUGUUUUCUUUUUUAAUUUUGGAUCUGUAAUUUUAUUUUUCU